GGUAACUCCACCUAGAGAAAGACAGACAAGCUAUAACAUAUGUUACAAGGCAUGCUGGAAGAAGUGGUUUGUAUGGAAAAAAUAUCACUGUCAUUCAGCUGUUACCAGUCCUUGAUAAGUCAGCCUGUUUCACAGCAUCGUGGAAGCCAUGGCCAAUUGCUUGGAUAAUGACCUGAGAACAAGGCCCUCCCACCAGUAUGGUGCACAAGUUGGCUCUUUUCCCUUCUGACAGACACCAAUGGAUUGAAAGCAGCCAUUCCAAAGCCAUCACACCUCAAAGGCACCUUCCACAUCUGGCCAAGGAAUGGUUAAAUGGCAUGUACCUUAAACACAGCACAUUUAUAGAACAGUGACCUUAAGA